CCCUGGAGAGAGACAGGCGUAUAUCUGUGGAAGCAGCGAAGGCCAGUACAGGGAGGGAGAAGUAAGUAGAUUUAUCCAGAAGGAAGCACUGAGGAGAGGUACAGCCCUGGAGAGACAGACUGGAGACAGGAGACAGACUGCGGAACAGGAGCCUGGGUGUGUAAAGGCUCCAGAAAGUUGAUGGACUUGAGUGGAACACAAUAACGUGGGUUGAACGGCAGUUGAGACUCUAAACAAAGGGGAAUGAAAAUUAAAGUGAAAAUGCUGUUGGCAGUCUUUUGCUGUCUUGACUUCAACACAGUAGAGAGUGCUAUAAUGAAAAUGUGGCUGAGUUUUUAAUAUUCUGGAAUUUCAUAACCACCAGCACCUCUUGGUUAUGC
rnacentral:lncRNA from 1 species